GGCGCUGUACCCAAAUGGCUAAGGGAAAAGUCUGCAAAACUUUGAUUUGCCGGUUCGAUUCCGGUCGGCGCCU
rnacentral:tRNA from 1 species